ACACCGGCCGCUCUAGUGGUAGCAGUUUUUAUUGGGCCUAAAGCGUCCGUAGCCGGUUUAAUAAGUCUCUGGUGAAAUCCUGUAGCUUAACUGUGGGAAUUGCUGGAGAUACUAUUAGACUUGAGACCGGGAGAGGUUAGAGGUACUCCCAGGGUAGCGGGGAAAUUCUGUAAUCCUGGGAGGACCGCCUGUUGCGAAGGCGUCUAACUGGAACGGUUCUGACGGUGAGGGACGAAAGUUAGGGGCGCGAACCGGAUUAGAUACCCGGGUAGUCCUAACUGUAAACGAUGCGGACUUGGUGUUGGGGUGGCUUUGAGCUGUCCCAGUGCCGAAGGGAAGCUGUUAAGUCCGCCGCCUGGGAAGUACGGUCGCAAGACUGAAACUCAAAGGAAUUGACGGGG
rnacentral:rRNA from 1 species